AGGCUUCCGCUUGAAGAUGAGCUUGCGUCUGAUUAGCUAGUUGGUGAGGGUAAAGGCCCACCAAGGCGACGAUCAGUAGCCGGUCUGAGAGGAUGAACGGCCACAUUGGGACUGAGACACGGCCCAGACUCCUACGGGAGGCAGCAGUGGGGAAUCUUCCGCAAUGGGCGAAAGCCUGACGGAGCAACGCCGCGUGAACGAUGAAGGU
rnacentral:rRNA from 1 species